UCGGAGGGUGCUGAGGGAGUUGGCGGAUGUGAUUGCAGAUCCAUUGGCCAUUAUCUUUAAAAACUCAUGGCGAAUGUGGGAGGACCCGGAUGACUGGAAAAAGGCUACUGUAGUGCCCAUCUUUAAAAAAG